CGUACAAACUCGAUUUGCACAGCUAGCCCUAGCUUUGUUCCGUUGUCGUAUGCUACCAGCCGGGCAGUCGCACACCGUUUGCCAGACGAUCCACACGUUGAUAUAUCGAUAAGAAUACUUCUACAAAUUUUGUUUACAAAUAAAAGCCAGUGUGAACAUUAAGGAGGAUAGUCGUGACAGAUGCCGAAGCCAUGCGAGUCAGCUGGGUCGCGACUCAUAGUGACGGUGCGCGUCGAAGGCUCCAUCGGCGGCGGCGGCGCUCCACCCGAUGAGUAUGGCCGCUCCCUAUCCCGCUCGCCCCGAUAUAUCGCCUAUAGAUGAUAAUGUUUAUUGAAUAUUUACCUAUUCUAGAUUAAAUAGGAAUACUAUAAUU